GACGAACGCUGGCGGCGUGCCUAAUACAUGCAAGUCGAGCGAAUCGAUGGGAGCUUACUCCCUGAGAUUAGCGGCGGACGGGUGAGUAACACGUGGGUAACCUGCCUGUAAGACUGGGAUAACUUCGGGAAACCGGAGCUAAUACCGGAUACUUUCUUUUCUCGCAUGAGGGAAGAUGGAAAGAUGGUUCUGCUAUCACUUACAGAUGGACCCGCGGCGCAUUAGCUAGUUGGUGAGGUAACGGCUCACCAAGGCAACGAUGCGUAGCCGACCUGAGAGGGUGAUCGGCCACACUGGGACUGAGACACGGCCCAGACUCCUACGGGAGGCAGCAGUAGGGAAUCUUCCGCAAUGGACGAAAGUCUGACGGAGCAACGCCGCGUGAGCGAAGAAGGCCUUCGGGUCGUAAAGCUCUGUUGUUAGGGAAGAGCAAGUACGAGAGUAACUGCUCGUACCUUGACGGUACCUAACCAGAAAGCCACGGCUAACUACGUGCCAGCCGCCGCCGUAAUAC
rnacentral:rRNA from 1 species